GCUGGGCAUGGUGGCGCAUGCCUGUAAUCCCAGUUACUUGGGAGGCUGAGGUGGGAGAAUCGCUUGAACCCAGGAGGCGGAGGUUGUGGUGAGCAGAGAUCAUGCCACUGCACUCUAGCCUGGGUGGCAAAGUGGAAUCCAUCUCAG
rnacentral:SRP_RNA from 1 species